rnacentral:misc_RNA from 1 species
AUUAUUGUUCAGUGGCUGAAGAUGCCAAAGUCCAUCAACGAGUAGGCACUAAUCAUCAUCUUCAUCGAAGUAUCGGCGCUCAUUGGCGGCCUUGGCUUUCUCAAGCAUCUUAUCAAGGUCUUGUUGGAGCUGAGCGUCCCAUUUCACCAACUGAUUGACAAACACUGCUCCCAAUCCCAUUCCAAUCACAUGCUCCCAAGGAUGGCGCAUGUAGGGAAGUUUGCGAAGGGCAUUAGAAUACAUCUGGGUGCCAAGUCCCAGCAAUGCUCCGAUCACCGUCGCACUCAGCGCCAUUUUUCCUAAUCCACCUCUCGCCCCUCUUUCUUUCCUCCGGCUAAUUGAACCUUUCCUUC